rnacentral:rRNA from 1 species
GACGAACGCUGGCGGCGUGCUUAACACAUGCAAGUCGAACGGAAAGGCCCUGCUUUUGUGGGGUGCUCGAGUGGCGAACGGGUGAGUAACACGUGAGUAACCUGCCCUUGACUUUGGGAUAACUUCAGGAAACUGGUGCUAAUACCGGAUAGGAGCUCCUGCUGCAUGGUGGGGGUUGGAAAGUUUCGGCGGUGGGGGAUGGACUCGCGGCUUAUCAGCUUGUUGGUGGGGUAGUGGCUUACCAAGGCGUUGACGGGUAGGCGGCCCGAGAGGGUGACCGGGCACAUUGGGACUGAGAGACGGCGCAGACUCCUCCGGGAGGCAGCAGUGGGGAAUAUUGCACAAUGGGGGGAAGCCUGAUGCAGCAACGCCGCGUGCGGGAUGACGGCCUUCGGGUUGUAAACCGCGUUCGCCUGAGACGAAGCGUGAGUGACGGUAAUGGGUAAAGAAGCAACGGCUAACUACGUG